rnacentral:rRNA from 1 species
AUGGAGCGAGCGCCCGAGUGCGCCCAUCCUCGCAGCCUCCUCCCACGAUUCCCCGCGCCCGAGCCCCACGAGAGGAGCUCCUCCUGUGUUUUUGCACGCCGCCGCCGGCGACCACUAGCCACAGCUUGCCGGAGCCAGCAGACGAGUACCACCCUUCUUCUCUGUUCUCUUCUUCCCGUGCUCUCUUUCUUCCUCCUUUCUCUCUCUCUCACAUCUCGAUUUCUCUCUCUGUCUCAAACAGUGCACUUCGCCGCCAUGGACGCUCGCGUCCCCGACCUUGCAGCGCGCCACCCCGAUGCAAAGUCCCUCCUUGCCGUUCUGGCGCCGCUGAGCCGAAGCCUCGCCCAAGUCCAAGCGCCGCCGACGUUUGCCUCCUCGCCAUGGCCUCCCCUGCUUCGUCUGCUUUGCGGACAGAGCUCCGUCUCCGUCAACGUGUCCUCCCGCCGUCUCUGUUCGCUGUCGGGCUCAAUCGACUCCAGCAGCACCCCCACGGUGUCGCUCCGCUCGGCACCCGAGCGUCUCUCCAGCUUGCAGUAG